rnacentral:rRNA from 1 species
GAUGAACGCUGGCGGCGUGCCUAAUACGUGCAAGUCGAGCGAACGGACGAGAAGCUUGCUUCUCUGAUGUUAGCGGCGGACGGGUGAGUAACACGUGGAUAACCUACCUAUAAGACUGGGAUAACUUCGGGAAACCGGAGCUAAUACCGGAUAAUAUUUUGAACCGCAUGGUUCAAAAGUGAAAGACGGUCUUGCUGUCACUUAUAGAUGGAUCCGCGCUGCAUUAGCUAGUUGGUAAGGUAACGGCUUACCAGGGCAACGAUGCAUAGCCGACCUGAGAGGGUGAUCGGCCACACUGGAACUGAGACACGGUCCAGACUCCUACGGGAGGCAGCAGUAGGGAAUCUUCCGCAAUGGGCGAAAGCCUGACGGAGCAACGCCGCGUGAGUGAUGAAGGUCUUCGGAUCGUAAAACUCUGUUAUUAGGGAAGAACAUAUGUGUAAGUAACUGUGCACAUCUUGACGGUACCUAAUCAGAAAGCCACGGCUAACUACGUG